rnacentral:rRNA from 1 species
AUCAAUUAUUCAUAAAUUAAUGAUUUAAUUAAUUAAAAGUUUUUUAAAUUUUAAUAUCACCCCAAUAAAAUAUUAUCAACAAUCACAACAAAAAAAAUCCACAAAAUUGUAAUUAUCUAAAUAUAAAGAUUUAUAGGGUCUUCUCGUCUUUUAAAUUUAUUUUAGCUUUUUGACUAAAAAAUAAAAUUCUAUUAUAAAUUUUUAUGAAACAGUUAAUAUCU